rnacentral:lncRNA from 1 species
ACCUCAAACUUUUGCUGCCCUGAUAGACCCAUGGGGGCCCUACAAACUGACACGAGGAACCUGGACUGGUGAAUUUUCUUUCCCAGGGAAAAUGGCCAAAGGAUGUCCCCAUGGGUCCCCGGCCCUCGGCUUGGACAUUACUGCCAAACCUCAAUACAUUGAAGGAUGGAUCCCAGACCGAUAUUGUCCCCAUCUCUAAAUUGUGCUGUCCUGAUAGACCCAAGGGAGCCCUACAAACUUAUAUCAGGAACCUGGACUGGUGAGUUUUCUUUCCCAGGGAAAAUGGCGAAAGGAUGUGCCCAGGGAGCGCUGAAAGCGGUCUGGGACUUGACUGCAAAAAAUCCUUAUAUCAAAGGAUGGACCCCAAACCUAAGUUGUCCCCACCUCAAACUUGUGCUGCCCAGAUAGACCCAAGGGAGCCCUACAAACUGACAUCAGCAACCUGGACUGGUGAGUUUUCUUUCCCAGGGAAAAUGGCCAAAGGAUGUGCCCAGGGGUCCCUGGCACUGGGCUGGGGCCUGACUGCAAAGAAUCCAUAUAUCGAAGGAUGUGUCCCUGACUCCAGCUGUCCCCACCUCAAACUUGUGCUGCCAUGAUAGUCCCAAGGGAGCCCUACAAACUGACAUCAGCAACCUGGACUGGUGAGUUUUCUUUCCCAGGGAAAAUGGGGCAUAGUUUGUGCUCAGCUGUCCCUUCCCCUGAGGUGGAGCCUCACUUUAGAAAUCCAGAUAUUGAAGGAUGUGUCCCAGACCAAAGUUGUCCCCACCUCAAACUUGUGCUGCACUGAUAGAGCCAAGGGAGCCCUCCAAACUCACAUCAGGAACCUGGACUGGUGAGUUUUCUUUCCCAGGGAAAAUGGCCAUAGUAUGUACACAGCCGCCCUUGGCGCUGAGCUGGUGCCUGACUGCAAAAACUCCAGACAUCAAGGAUGUGUCCCAGACCGAAGUUGUCCCCACCUCAAACUUGUGCUGCCCUGAUAGACCCAAGGGAGCCCUACAAACUGACAUCAGCAACCUGGACUGGUGAGUUUUCUUUCCCAGGGAAAAGGGCGAAUGUAUGUGCCCAGGGGUCCCUGGCCCUGAGCUGGCGCCUGACUGCACAAUAUCCAAACAUCUGAGGGAAGUCCCAGAGUGAAGGUGUCCCCACCUCAAAUUUGUGCUACCCUGACAGUCCCAAGGGAGCACUAAAAUCUGACAUCAGCAACUGGACUGGUGAGUUUUUGUUUCCAGGGAAAGGGGUCAGAAUAUGUGCCCAGGUCCCCCUGGCCCUCAGCUGGUAGCUGACUUAAAAAAUCCAAACAUUGAAGGAUGUGUCCCAGACCCCAGCUGCCCCCACCUCAAACUUGUGCUGCCCUGACAGUCUCGAGGGAGCCCUACAAACUGACAUCAGGAACCUGGACUGGUGAGUUGUCUUUCCCAGGGAAAAGGGCCUGAGUAUGUGCCCCGGGCCCCUGGCCCUGAGCUGGGACCUGACUUCAAAAAAUCCAAACAUCGAAGGAUGUGUCCCCGACCAAAGCUGUCCCCACCUCAAACUUGUGCUGCCCUGAUAGUCCCAAGGCAGCCCUACAAACUGACAUCAGGAACCUGGACUGGUGAG